GUGGGAGGGGGCUUGCUCCCGAUUGCAAUGUUUCAGUCAGCUCACCGGUAACUGGCAGACCGCUAUCGGGAGCAAGCCCCCUCCCAC
rnacentral:misc_RNA from 1 species